AUGAUCUUUUUGCCUAGGAGCAACAUAGACCCUUAUCAUCUCUCAUCAAGGCAACUAGAAUCAACCUUAAAUUCAAUAUCCAGGCGGGGCGCGCGACGGCACCGGGCGGACGGGGACUGGCAGGAUUUUUAUGAGUUCCAGGAGCCGGCCCGAAGCCUCCAGGACCAAGAGAACUGUAACGCGAGCCCCGAGGCUGCAGCAGCGCCGGACCGGGGUGGCGACGGCUUCCCAGCGCUGGCCUGCCACUUGGAGGAGAAGCUGAGCCUGUCUUUCCGCCCCUCGGGUCCGGGUGCCGAGCCCCCGAGGGCGGCUGUGCGGCCCAUCACCGAGUGCAGCCACCUGCAAGGGGACGAGAUUUGGAAUGCCCUGACAGAUAAUUACGAAAAUGUAAUGCCUGUAGACUGGAAGUCAUCCCAUACUGGGACCUUGCAUUUGCUUACUCUGAAUCUCUCAGAAAAAGGGAUGAGUGACAGCUUGCUCUUUGAUACCUCAGAUGAUGAGCUGAGAGAACAGUUGGAUAUGCAUUCAAUCAUCGUCUCCUGCGUCAACAAGGAGCCUCUCUUCACUGCAGACCAGGUGAUUGAAGAAAUUGAAGAAAUGAUGCAGGAAUCACCAGACCCAGAAGAUGAUGAAACGCCUACCCAGUCAGAUCGGCUUGCAAUGCCUUCUCAGGAAAUUCAAACUCUUAAGAGGUCUAGCACAAGCAGUUAUGAAAAGAGGGUGAAAAGGCUGUCGGUAUCUGAAUUAAAUGAGCUGCUGGAAGAAAUCGAGACUGCCAUCAAGGAGUACUCCGAAGAGCUGGUGCAGCAGCUGGCCCUGCCAGACGAACUGGAGUUUGAGAAAGAAGUGAAGAACAGCUUUAUUUCUGUUCUCAUCGAAGUGCAAAACAAACAGAAAGCACACAAAGAAACAGCCAAAAAGAAAAAGAAACUCAAGAACGACAGCUCUCAGAACGGGAAGAACGAGAGAAGCCACAUGCCCGGCACAUACUUGACAACAGUCAUUCCUUAUGAGAAAAAAAAAAAGGACCACCGUCUGUUGAAGAUCUUCAGAUAUUAACAAAAAUUCUUCGUGCCAUGAAAGAGGAUAGUGAAAAAGUUCCAAGCUUGUUAACAGACUAUAUACUGAAAGUUAUGUGUCCUACAUAGGGCAGCAUCACUUCAGGAACAGCUUUAUCCUUCAUGGGCAACAAGCUACAAUUCCUAUAGCAUUAUUCUGAAAGCUGGCUACUAUUACCUUCCUGCUAUUGGAAACUCAGGACCCUUGAACUUGGGUUUGUGAUUCAGUAUUACUAGAUCAUGCCUUCUCUAAUUCUUUGUGUCUUGAACUGAGAGAACCAUGGCACUAUUUUGAAUUCUAGAGGUUUUUUUGUUGUUGUUGUUAAAUACUAACAAUUAUGAACUCUUCUGCAACUCUGUAGAGUAAGGGGGAGUGAUGUUCACUGUGCACAUGCAGCUAUAUUUUUCAUUAACGGACAGUACGUCUGAGUUUUUACGGCUUUCUAGAUCUAAACUG